GUGUGCUUUGGAUUUUUAUCUAUAUUUCUUUUUUUCGGUUGUUAAUAUGAAAACGAAAAAUAAUUACUGUAUCUACAUACAUGCCCCUCAACAAUUGUGAACCUACACACACGGAGCGUCUACAAAAGUCAACCUUGUGCCUUAAAAUAAAGCAAGGCAUUGUCUGUUGCCCACUACUACCAGCAGAUACCAGAUACCGGAGACAGACCAGAGACCAGGCCCAAAGACGACCAUGCUCGAUAUACCGUCCUUCAUCUAGUAACUCUAACCCUGAGAAUUUGGAAAUUGUUGAAACGACGCAUUUGCCAGCCAGAACAGAACAGAACAGAAAAGAACAGAGGAGCAACCCUCCCAAACCUAUGUAUGCGCAAAACCCAAACCCAAUUUCAAUUCCUAUCCAAAAACCCAACAACAAGUUCAAAAACUCUACGAUUUACAGAACAACAAUAAUAAGGCUCUCUCUGCCAUCCUGCUCGCUCCUUUGGAAAGCUACUACUAAAAAUGUAAUCAUUAUGCUUUAUCGUAAUAAUCAGCACCGACAGAGGCGGCGGCUGCGACUGAAGCAGCGGCAGAGGCAGCGGCAGCGACAUCGCAGCAGUCACAAUCGCAGUUAGGAGAAAAGUUUUUAUUCCCGUUAUGAAUAGGGUGUGAAAGGGUACAUAUGUCGGGUGUUGAAGCGGGCUCGGCUUAUGAAGGAAUAGUACUGCAAGUCAGUAAUUAUACGAAAAUCUAUUGUAAUUACGGGGGAACGGAAGAGGAAGAGAUGGAAUUAAAAAAAAUUUUGAUUUGAAAAGGAUAACAAAAAAAUAUAGUACUCUCUAUGGACUGCUAUGACGGAGGGCGGGCCUCUCUUGGGCUCUGGGAAAACGCACAUCUACAGGAAAUACAUACAUGAGGGUUUUGGACGAAGAAGCUUUCGUUCAUUCCGAUCUGUCUGUUUUGAUGGGUAUCAAAAUACUUAUUCCAUUCGCAGUGCAGGACACACACACACA